UACGUAGGGGGCAAGCGUUGUCCGGAAUCAUUGGGCGUAAAGAGCGUGUAGGCGGCUCGGUAAGUCCGCUCUGAAAGCCCGGGGCUCAACCCCGGGAGGCGGGCGGAUACUGUCGGGCUAGAGUCCGGAAGAGGCGAGUGGAAUUCCUGGUGUGGCGGUGAAAUGCGCAGAUAUCAGGAGGAACACCAAUGGCGAAGGCAGCUCGCUGGGACGGUACUGACGCUGAGACGCGAAAGCGUGGGGAGCAAACAGG
rnacentral:rRNA from 1 species